GUUCUGUCGGCUUUCGGAGGAAAGUGGAAGGAAGUGUUGCUCCACUUCUUCUUCUUCUUGUUCAUCUUUGCUCUCCUACACCUCUUUUAUUGGCAUCCAUUUAACGGUGUCGAAAGUUGAAGCCUUUCUUUGGUAAAAGCUAAGUUUUACUGUGCAGGAGGGCUUCCAUGUCAAUCCAACAAAAGGAAUCCAAUCGCUGGGAUCGAUUAAAGAAGUGCACCUAUCUUAGUGGAUGAUCACGCGACUUAGCUGUGUGAAUGAAAUGGGAGGAAACAUGGGUAUCUCAAGACUUCUAAAAGGACAGGAAUAAGAACAUGAAAUGAUUGCAUUUGGUUCAGAGAGAGAGAGAGAGAGAGAGAAGGAUAAGCCCACCUUAGCAUCUCUGAAUCUUUCCUACACAUGCUUGCGUAGACAAGUGAGAUUGGGAUCAUUUUAUAAUGUUGUUCUGAUUGCCAACUCCUUUAGAUCCUCCUGCCUUGUGGAUAUGACACAAAACAGUGCUCGGUCGCAGAGUAGGCUUUUCACCUUCUUUCUCUCUUCUUCCCCGACCACCACAACCUGCUGAGCUCCCAUCUUGCAAGCAACUGCCACGGUGAUGGCAUCGUCAUCGGAAUGAGUAGAGGAGGUGAUAGGAGAGAUGGCUGAAGGCUUCAUCGGGUAGUGGAAUUGCAGCUUGCAGGAAUGGGCACAAAGCUGCAUCAGAUCAAUAGCCUCUUCACCACCUUGCAGCGGCAGAACUCCAUCGUAGUCUCUGACAACAGACCACCGAAGGCAACAAUGUGUGCUUGGUGAAGUGGUAGAUGGAGAGACUCGCUGAAUGCGACAGCAGAGAUGCUGUCAGGAAUACGAUGUUGAAGCAUGAAGAAAUCUUCAAGCAACAGGUGUACGAACUCCAUCGCCUGUACAAAGAUCAGAAGCUGCGGAUGGCUGAGCUGCGAAACAACGAGUUCACGGAUACCGGGAGCAGAAUCUGGAGCAGUGCCUCUUCCACCUCCAACACCAGCUAUAAUUUGCAGCUGUGUGCAGCUCGAUCGAACGCAGAAGGCAGAGCGCAUGUCAAGGGAUUCGAUCUCGAACAGCCAGCCGAAGAGUGCAGUUCAAAGGGAGCAACGAGCAUCGACGAGGAGACCACAGUGGAUGAAGUUGAGUUGACACUCAGCAUAGGAUGCACUGCAGAGACGAAAAAGAAGAAGAAGACGAAGAAGAAGAAGAAGAAGAAGAAGAAACGAGCACAUUGGAUGGACCCAAGAAAUGCUUACACGCGCUGCUGCUCGGAAGCAGCUCCAAGUGGAGGAAUCGGGUGACUCCUCCUCUGCUGGUUCUUCUUCCUUCUCUUCUGUCAUCGGGAACUGAAGUGAUCCGAUGAUCACAGUGCAUGAGCUUCCCAUCUAACACAUUAUCGAAAUCGAAUUGAAAUCAGUUUUAGUUCGUAUAAAGAAUUGAAACCUAAAUAGA